AUUAAGGCUAUACUAUUGUGUUUUUACUGUGUUUCAACACUAGGGAUGCUUUGUUAUUGGCAUAGAGUCAUUAUUCAUAUAGGCUUAAGUACUCCAAAUACAUGUUUCAACACCAGGGAUGCUUCGUUAUUGGCAUAGAGUCGUUAUUCAUAUAGGCUUAAGUACUCCAAAUAUGUUGGUCUAGCGAGUCAUAUAUGUCGUACUUGCAUUCUUACUCCAAUGGUUUGUUUCUAUUUAAUAUUUUCGAUUGUCUUCCUGCCGAAUGUGAGUUACUUAAAUCAAGUCACGUCCUCAUAUUUAUCCAGCUUUGAGCCGAAAUGCUUGCUAUGUACCGUUUUAAGUUAAGCUUCUCUAGCAUGUAACUUUUAUCGUUGACUUGCUUCCGUUUUUCAAGAGAUCUGUGUUAGCGUCCCA
rnacentral:lncRNA from 1 species